rnacentral:rRNA from 1 species
AUUGAACGCUGGCGGCAGGCCUAACACAUGCAAGUCGAGCGAGCGGCGGACGGGUGAGUAAUGUCUGGGAAACUGCCCCAUGGAGGUGGAUAACUCCUGUAAACGGUAGCUAAUACCCCAUACCAUCACAUGUGCCCAGAGGGGAUUAGCUAGUAGGUGGGGUAACGGCUCACCUCGGCUACCAUCCCUAGCUGGUCUGAGAGGAUGACCAGCCACACUGGAACUGAGACACGGUCCAGACUCCUACGAGAGGCAGCAGUGGGGAAUAUUGCACAAGGGGCGCAAGCCUGAUGCAGCCAUGCCGCGUGUAGGAAGAAGGCCUUCGGGUUGUAAAGUACUUUCAGCGGGGAGGCGUUACCCGCAGAAGAAGCACCGGCUAACUCCGUGCCAGCAGCCGCGGUAAUUC